AGCUCCCCGCCGCCUGAGUGCCUGUUUGCUGCCUCUUACUUCUCCAUCUAGCCGCUGUGAUAAGCGCCCGCCGAAUUGCGGCUGCCGGUCUAGUGGGCGCCGCAGCCUCCCGGGGCCCCGUGGCCGCCGGCCACCAGGAUAGCUGGAAUGGCCUUAGUCAUGAGGCAUUUAGAAUUGUUUCAAGGCGGGAUUAUGCAUCAGAAGCAAUCAAGGGAGCAGUUGCUGGUAUUGAUUUGGGUACUACCAACUCCUGUGUGGCAGUUAUGGAAGGGAAACAAGCAAAGGUGCUGGAGAAUGCUGCAGGUGCCAGAGCCACCCCUUCAUCUGUGGCCUUUACAUCAGAUGGUGAGCGGUGUGUCAGCAUGCCAGCCAAGCGACAGGCUGUCACGAACCCAAACAAUACAUUCUAUGCUACCAAGCGUCUCAUGGGCCGGCGAUAUGAUGAUCCUGAAGUACAGAAAGACGUUUAAAAUGUUCCCUUUAAAAUCGUCCGUGCCUCCAAUGGUGAUGCCUGGGUUGAGGCUCAUGGGAAACUGUAUUCUCCAAGUCAGAUUGGAGCAUUUGUGUUGAUGAAGAUAAAAGAGACUGCAGAAAAUUACUUGGGGCACACAGCAAAAAAUGCUGUGAUCACAGUCCCAGCUUACUUCAAUAACUCGCAGAGACAGGCCACUAAAGAUGCUGGCCAGAUAGCUGGACCGAAUGUGCUUUGGGUGAUUAAUGAGCCCACAGCUGCUGCUCUUGCCUAUGGUCUGGACAAAUCAGAAGACAAAGUCAUUGCUGUAUAUGAUUUAGGAGGUAGAACUUUUGACAUUUCUAUCCUGAAAAUUCAGAAAGGAGUAUUCGAGGUGAAAUCCACAAAUGGGAACGCUUUCUUAGGUGGGGAAGACUUUGGCCAGGCCUUGCUACGGCACACUGUGAAGGAGUUCAAGAGAGAGACUAGGGUUGAUUUGACCAAAGACAACAUGGCACUUCAGAGGGUACAGGAAGCUGCUGAAAAGGCUAAGUGUGAACUCUUCUCAUCUGUACAGACUGACAUCAAUUUGCCUUUUCUUACAAUGGAUUCCUCUGGACCCAAGCAUUUGAAUAUGAAGCUGACCUGUGCUCAAUUUGAAGAGAUUGUCACUGAUCUAAUCAGAAGGACCAUCACUCCAUGCCAAAAAGCUAUGCAAGAUGCAGAAGUCAGCAAGAGUGACAUAGCAGAAGCGAUCCUUGUGGGUGGCAUGACUAGGAUGCCCAAGGUUCAGCAGACUGUGCAGGAUCUUUUUGGCAGAGCACCAAGUAAAGCUGUCAAUCCUGAUGAGGUUGUGGCCAUUGGAGCUGCCAUUCAGGGAGGUGUGUUGGCUGGCCAUGUCACAGAUGUGCUGUUCCUAGAUAUCACUCCCCUGUCUCUGGGUAUUGAAACUCUAGGAUGUGUCUUUACCAAACUUAUUAAUAGGAACACCACUAUUCCAACCAAGAAGAGCCAGGUAUUCUCUACUGCCGCUGACGGUCAGACGCAAGUGGAAAUUAAAGUUUGUCAGGGUGAGAGAGAGAUAGCUGGAGACAACAAACUCCUUGGACAGUUUACUUUGAUUGGAAUUCGACCAGCCCCUUGUGGAGUUCCUCAGAUUGAAGUUACAUUUGACAUUGAUGCCAAUGGGAUCGUACAUGUUUCUGCUAAAGAUAAGGGCGCAGGACGUGAGCAGCAGAUUGUAAUCCAGUCUUCUGGUGGGUUAAGCAAAGAUGAUAUUGAAAAUAUGGUUAAAAAUGCAGAGAAAUAUGCUGAGGAAGACCAGCGAAAGAAGGAACGAGAUAAAGCAAUUAAUAUGGCUGAAGGAGUCAUUCAUGAUACAGAAGCAAAGAUGGAUGAAUUCAAGGACCAAUUGCCUGCUGAUGAGUACAACAAGCUAAAAGAAGAGAUUUCCAAAAUGAGGGAGCUCCUGGCUAGAAAAGACAGUGAAACAGGAGAAAACAUUAGACAGGCAGCAACUCUCUUCAGCAGGCAUCAUUGAAGCUCUUCGAAAUGGCAUACAAAAAGAUGGCAUCUGAGCGAGAAGGCUCUGGAAGUUCUGGCACUGGGGAACAAAAGGAAAAUCAAAAGAAGGAGAAACAGUAAUAGCAGAAAUUUUGAAGCCAAAAGGACAAUAACGUGAAGCUUAGGAGUGAAGAGACUUCCUGAGCAGAAAUGGGCAAACUUCAGUCUUUUUACUGUGUUUUUGCAGUAUUCUAUACAGAAUUUCCUUAAUUUGUAAAUUUAGUGACCAUUAGCUAGUGACCAAUUUAACGGGCGGUGAUUCUAACAGUAUAAAGUUCACAAUGUUCUAUGUCCCUAGCCUGUCAUUUUUCAGCUGCAUGUAAAAGGGGGUAGGAUGGAUUAAUUGAUCAUUAUAAA